GUGUCAGCAGCCGCGGUAAGACAGAGGGUGCAAACGUUGUUCGGAAUUACUGGGCGUAAAGCGCGUGUAGGCGGCUCGGCAAGUCGGGUGUGAAAGCCCUGGGCUUAACCUAGGAAGUGCACUCGAAACUGCCAAGCUUGAGUUCUGGAGAGGAAGGCGGAAUUCUCGGUGUAGAGGUGAAAUUCGUAGAUAUCGAGAGGAACACCGGUGGCGAAGGCGGCCUUCUGGACAGCAACUGACGCUGAGACGCGAAAGCGUGGGGAGCAAACAGGAUUAGAAACCCUGGUAGUCC
rnacentral:rRNA from 1 species